GACUCGAAGAGAAGCGGAAGGACAAAACGAUCACUGCGAACCUGUCCGCGCGCGUUGUGCUCGCGCCGGAUGCGGCGAUGGUGCCGCUGCUCGAGCAGUAUCGUGAUUUCCUGCCGACGUUGUUCGGCGUAUCCGAGAUCGAGAUCAAGCCCCCAAGCCCGCAAGCCCUUAAGCCCUCGGUUGAAAAAGGCCGCAGGCACCAAAUGCGACCGCUGCUGGCGGUAUGUGGCCGAGGUCAGCGUUGAACCCGAUCGGGCCGGACUCUGUUCUCGCUGCGUGGAAGCGCUCGCGGAACCGGUGAGCCUGUAGUGCUCGCCUCGCGACGGCUCGAGCUGAUCGUUUCCGUGACCGUGGUGAUCCUCGAUCAGAUCACCAAGGCGCUGGUUCGUCCGGCGCUGGCGCUGCACGAGAGCCGCGAGGUCAUCCCGGGCUUUCUCGACCUGACCCGCGUGCACAACACCGGCGCGGCCUUCGGCAUGCUGAACUCGGUGGACUUUCCGUUCAAGACGGUGGUCCUCUCACUCGUCGCGGCCAUCGCCCUCGGCGGCGUCGCGUGGUACGCUGCCACGGUGCCGCUCAGCGAUCGGCUGGCGCGCUUCGGCAUUGCCGGCGUGCUGGGCGGGGCGAUCGGCAACCUGAUCGACCGCGCGAGAAGCGGCUACGUGCUGGAUUUUGUCGAUGCCUAUUGGGGCGCCUGGCAUUUCUGGGCGUUUAACGUCGCCGACGCGGCGAUCACCGUCGGCGUGAUCUUCAUGAUUCUCGAUAUUCUGGGACUAGGGAAACGUUCCAACGGGCAGGCCUCAAUCAAUGCAUCCAAUCCUGUUUAGCGCCGGGCCGGUCACCAUCUACUCGUACGGCGUGCUGCUCGCCUCCGCCUAUCUGCUUGGCCUGUGGCUCGCCGUGAGGCGCGCCCGCGCCGCCGGCAUCGACGGCAACCGGAUCAUGGACCUCCUGAUCUGGGUGAUCAUCGCCGCGCUGGUCGGGGCGAAAUCGCUGCUGUUCGUGGUCGACUUCAAUCACUUCACGAGCAGCUGGCAGGAAUUCACCACGCUGUUGCGCUCCGGCGGCGUGUUCUACGGCGGCCUGAUCGCCGCCAUCGUCGUGUGCAUCUGGCAGCUGCGCAAACAUCGCCUGCCGCUGUGGUCAUCCGGCGAUCUGUUCGCGCCCGGCAUCGCCCUCGGCUACAUGGUCGGCCGCCUCGGAUGCUUGAUGGCCGGUUGCUGCUACGGCAAGCCGACCACCGUGGCAUGGGCGGUGACGUUUACCGAUCCUGCCGCGAACUUCAACGUCGGCACGCCGCUGAACGUGGCGCUGCACCCGACGCAGUUGUACGAAUCCGCCGCCGGCCUCGUGAUCCUGAUCGCGCUGCUGCUGAUCGAGAAACGUCCCGGACAUUUCCCCGGCCGGACGUUCUGGAGCUUUGCGUUCCUCUACGCCGUCCUGCGAUUCAUCAUCGAGUUCUUCCGUGGCGACGAUCGCGGCCUGGUCCUUAACCUGCUGUCAACCU
rnacentral:misc_RNA from 1 species